GCCGGGUGUGGUGACUCACACCUGUAAUCCUAGCAAUUUGGGAGGCUGAGGCAGGAGGAUCACUUGAGCCCAGGAGUUUGAGACCAGCCUGGGCAACAUAGUGGGACCCUGUCUCUG
rnacentral:SRP_RNA from 1 species